AUUGAACGCUGGAGGCAGGCCUAACACAUGCAAGUCGAGCGGCAGCGGGAAGUAGCUUGCUACUUUGCCGGCGAGCGGCGGACGGGUGAGUAAUGUCUGGGAAACUGCCCGAUGGAGGGGGAUAACUACUGGAAACGGUAGCUAAUACCGCAUAACGUCGCAAGACCAAAGAGGGGGACCUUCGGGCCUCUUGCCAUCGGAUGUGCCCAGAUGGGAUUAGCUAGUAGGUGGGGUAACGGCUCACCUAGGCGACGAUCCCUAGCUGGUCGGAAAGGAUGACCAGCGACACUGGAACUGGGACACGGUCCAGAAUCCUACGGGAGGCAGCAGUGGGGAAUAUUGCACAAUGGGCGCAAGCCUGAUGCAGCCAUGCCGCGUGUAUGAAGAAGGCCUUCGGGUUGUAAAGUACUUUCAGCGGGGAGGAAGGUGUUGAGGUUAAUAACCUCAGCAAUUGACGUUACCCGCAGAAGAAGCACCGGCUAACUCCGUGCCAGCAGCCGCGGUAA
rnacentral:rRNA from 1 species